rnacentral:rRNA from 1 species
CGCCCAUCAGCUAGCCGCCUCCACUAAAAACAACAAAUCCCCAUCAAUACCCCCUAAAACACUCAAAUACAGCACUAAACAAACCAUUUUUCCCCCCAAGUACGGGCGACAGAAAAGGAACCAUCGCGCUAUAGAGAAAGUACCGCAAGGGAACGCUGAAAGAGAAAUGAAACAACCCAGUAAAGCCUAAAAAAGCAGAGAUUUAAACUCGUACCUUUUGCAUCAUGAUUUAGCUAGAAAAUCUCAAGCAAAGAGCACUUUAGUUUGACUCCCCGAAACUACGUGAGCUACUCCAAGACAGCCUAACAAUAGGGCAAACCCGUCUCUGUGGCAAAAGAGUGGGAAGAGCUUUGAGUAGAGGUGACAGACCUACCGAACCUAGUUAUAGCUGGUUGCCUAAGAAAUGAAUAGAAGUUCAGCCUCUCGGAUUCUUCCCUCACCUUUGUCUCCCUCCCUACGACAGCCCAAAUAGAAACCGAAAGAGUUAGUCAAAGGGGGUACAGCCCCUUUGACACAAGAUACAACUUUUCCAGGAGGGUAAAGAUCACAUUUAGACACCAAGGUAGAAUGUUUUGGUGGGCCUAAAAGCAGCCACCCCUACAGAAUGCGUUAAAGCUCAGACAUACUUACCACCCCCAAUCCCGACAAUUUCAUCUUAACCCCCUAACCUUACCAGGCCAUCCCAUGCAAACAUGGGAGUGACCAUGCUAAUAUGAGUAAUAAGAGAGCAUUAGCCUCUCUCCUCGCACAAGUGUAACUCGGAACGGACCCCCCACCGAACCUUAACGACCCCAAACAAAGAGGGCCUUGAACAACAGACCCGCCAACUAGAAAAACACUCAACAAUUUAACCGUUAAACCCACACUGGUGUGCCUUCGAGGAAAGACUAACAGAAAAAGAAGGAACUCGGCAAACACAUAAAGCCUCGCCUGUUUACCAAAAACAUCGCCUCUUGCAAAAUUAACGAAUAAGAGGUCCUGCCUGCCCUGUGACCAUGAGUUUAACGGCCGCGGUAUUUUGACCGUGCAAAGGUAGCGCAAUCACUUGUCUUUUAAAUGAAGACCCGUAUGAAUGGCAAGACGAGGGCUUAACUGUCUCCUUUUUCAAGUCAAUGAAAUUGAUCUUCCCGUGCAGAAGCGGGAAUUUUUCCAUAAGACGAGAAGACCCUAUGGAGCUUUAGACACCAAGACAGACCACGUCAAAACCCCCUAACAAAGGAUUAAACUAACUGAACCCUGUCCUAAUGUCUUUGGUUGGGGCGACCACGGGGAACUACAAAACCCCCGCGUGGAAUGAGAGCACCACCUGCUCUUACAACUGAGAGCUUCCGCUCUAACAAACAGAAUUUCUGACCAACAAGAUCCGGCAACGCCGAUCAACGAACCGAGUUACCCUAGGGAUAACAGCGCAAUCCUCUUUUAGAGCCCAUAUCGACAAGAGGGUUUACGACCUCGAUGUUGGAUCAGGACAUCCUAAUGGUGCAGCCGCUAUUAAGGGUUCGUUUGUUCAACGAUUAAAGUCCUACGUGAUCUGAGUUCAGACCGGAGUAAUCCAGGUCAGUUUCUAUCUAUGCCAUGAUCUUUUCUAGUACGAAAGGACCGAAAAGAAAGGACCCAUGCUCUAAGUACGCCCUACCCUCACCUAAUGCAAUCAACUAAAACAGAUAAGAGGACAUACCCCCUAUGCCUAAGAAAACGGCCU